GCCGGAGUAGCUCAGUCUGGUAGAGCACGCGAUUCGUAAUCGCGGGGUCGCGGGUUCGACUCCCGCCUCCGGCU
rnacentral:tRNA from 1 species